rnacentral:rRNA from 1 species
UACGGGGGGAGCAAGCGUUGUUCGGAUUUACUGGGCGUAAAGGGCGCGUAGGCGGCCACUGCAAGUCAGUUGUGAAAUCUCCGGGCUUAACCCGGAAAGGUCAACUGAUACUGCAGGGCUAGAGUGCAGAAGGGGCAACUGGAAUUCUCGGUGUAGCGGUGAAAUGCGUAGAUAUCGAGAGGAACACCAAUGGCGAAAGCAGCUCUCUGGGACGGUACUGACGCUGAGACGCGAAAGCGUGGGGAGCGAACAGG